GUGGGGAAUAUUGGACAAUGGGCGCAAGCCUGAUCCAGCCAUGCCGCGUGAGUGAUGAAGGCCCUAGGGUUGUAAAGCUCUUUCACCGGAGAAGAUAAUGACGGUAUCCGGAGAAGAAGCCCCGGCUAACUUCGUGCCAGCAGCCGCGGUAAUACGAAGGGGGCUAGCGUUGUUCGGAAUUACUGGGCAUAAAGCGCACGUAGGCGGACAUUUAAGUCAGGGGUGAAAUCCCGGGGCUCAACCCCGGAACUGCCUUUGUUACUGGGUGUCUGGAGUAUGGAAGAGGUAAGUGGAAUUCCGAGUGUAGAGGUGAAAUUCGUAGAUAUUCGGAGGAACACCAGUGGCGAAGGCGGCUUACUGGUCCAUUACUGACGCUGAGGUGCGAAAGCGUGGGGAGCAAACAGGAUUAGAAACCCUUGUAGUCC
rnacentral:rRNA from 1 species